rnacentral:rRNA from 1 species
UACGUAGGGGGCAAGCGUUGUCCGGAAUCGUUGGGCGUAAAGCGCGCGUAGGCGGCCUCGUAAGUCCGCUGUGAAAGUCAAAGGCUCAACCUUUGAAUGCCGGUGGAUACUGCGAGGCUAGAGUCCGGAAGAGGCGAGUGGAACUCCUGGUGUAGCGGUGGAAUGCGCAGAUAUCAGGAAGAACACCAAUGGCGAAGGCAGCUCUCUGGGACGGUACUGACGCUGAGACGCGAAAGCGUGGGGAGCGAACAGG